rnacentral:rRNA from 1 species
AGGGAAUAGAUACCCAGGUAGUCCUGGCAGUAAACGGUGCACGUUUGGUGUGGGCGCAAUCGACCGCGUCCGCGCCGGAGCUAAACGCGUUAAACGUGCCGCCUGGGAAGUACGGUCGCAAGAUUAAAACUCAAAGAAAUUGACGGGGACCCGCACAAGCGGUGGAGUAUGUGGCUUAAUUCGAUGCAACGCGAAGAACCUUACCUGGUCUUGACAUGCAUUGUGUCUCCGGUGAAAGCCGGAUAGGGUAGCAAUACCCGCUUUGCACAGGUGCUGCAUGGCUGUCGUCAGCUCGUGUCGUGAGAUGUUGGGUUUAAAGUCCCGCAACGAGCGCAACCCCGUGUGAUUUGUUGCCACCGGCUUAUGCCGAGCACUCGAAUCAGACUGCCUCGAUCAACGAGGAGGAAGGUGGGGAUGACGUCAAGUCCGUAUGGCCCUUACGACCAGGGCUGCACACGUACUACAAUGCCCAGUACAAUGUGAACCGAGACCGCGAGGUGGAGGAAAUCAAU